rnacentral:lncRNA from 1 species
GUCGCUAUUUUUUUAUUUUAAAAAUAAAAGGUUUCUUUUAACGCUUAAGAAUUCCGACAACAAUGGCUCUAUACAGGACUUCUUUGAUGCUUGUUCUCGUCGCUGUUUGCGCCCUCAUGGGUUCUGCCAUCGCAGCUGACGCCCCAGCUCCAAGCCCCACCUCGGGAACGGGCUCGAUCUCUAUCUCCUUCGUCUCUGUUUUCGUCGCCGCCGCUAUGGCUCUGUUUUUCGGAUCUACUCUCAGGAUCUGAAGAUGCUAUAUUACCUCUUGUGGUGGCCUGUCCUUGGGUUGGCGGCUUUGGAUGUUGUAGAAAUGGUGCUCGGUGUUUCAUUUAUAUACAUAUAUGUAUGUUUGUUUUAAAUUUGGUUUGGAAUUUUAGUGGUGGUAAUAGUGGAUCUAGGGAGUGAGUAUAUAUAUCAUAUAGAGAGAGAGCGGUAGCUAUGUUAUGUUCUACAUAGAUUAUUGAUGGUUGAUGUUUGUACUUAAAUUAUUUCAGUAUUUUUUAUGGAUUGAUAUCAUUUUUAUUAUUAUAAUGUGAGAUCGUUUGUUUUAUUUAUACUCCAUUUGGUUCUUAAUUUCUUGCGUUUUCUUUUUUUCUAGAAAUUUCUUGCGUUUUCUCAGCAGCCAAACAACAGUAGCAGCAUAUUCUCUGGGACCACUGUCUUGGUCUUGCUUCGCUCUGAAGUUUGAUCAGACCUUUAAGACAAAUUUACCCUUCAAACUCCAUUAAUGCUUGGUAAAUAUCCUCUCUAAUUCUAUUCUCCAA